rfam:Brassica napus, WGS project CCCW01000000 data, contig: 25331
AGUGGAAUGAUGAUUACUCUUAUUCUGAAUCAUUCUGUCGACCAAAACUCAGACUACAAUUAUCUGAUCAUCU